GCGGAGCCAGUGUAGGCACGAAUGACCUUCCUCUUCUCUCCUACCUAGGGCUUGGGGUUUCCGCAGUUAGCGAUAACGUUCCUCCCGCCUUGGUUUCUUUUCUCGGCUUCAUUUACCGCUUUUGCAAACAAUUCCUCAUGUUUCCGCUAUCCGGAGACGUGUGUUGCUGUUACCCGUGUUGGAAACCCAGGGGAUAAAAUCACACGCGUUGGGCUUGACACCCAUCUAAUCCCUGCACGCACUUGGGAGGUGGAAGCAGAAGAUUCGGAAACUCAAGGUCAUCGUCAACUACAAAACAGGCGGGGCAGCUUGUGCUAAAGGAGUUCCUGUCUCAAGAAACCAACCAAAGACACCACAUUGAUCUUUGUGUCUGCACCAUCCACUAAGUAUCUGGGUCAAACAAGACAGGGAGAAAUAGAAACUCAGGAACUUGGAAAGGUUAUGGCCAUUGCACCAACCCAUUACAUCUGGCAACGAGAGCGCUCUGUGCAUCACAGUGGAGCUAUUAGGAACUAUGACAGAGAUGAAGUUCAUCUGCCCUGGGGUCCUAGUGCCACACCAGUAGACUGUUUACUGUGUGGUAAAAAAGGAAGA